rnacentral:rRNA from 1 species
GAGUUUGAUCCUGGCUCAGAACGAACGCUGGCGGCAUGCCUAACACAUGCAAGUCGAACGGGAUCCGGACUUCGGUUCGGUGAGAGUGGCGGACGGGUGAGUAACGCGUGGGAACCUGCCCAGUGGUGGGGGAUAACUGCGGGAAACUGCAGCUAAUACCGCAUGAGCCCGAGAGGGGAAAGAUUUAUCGCCAUUGGAGGGGCCCGCGUUCGAUUAGGUAGUUGGUGAGGUAAUGGCUCACCAAGCCGACGAUCGAUAGCUGGUCUGAGAGGAUGAUCAGCCACACUGGGACUGAGAUACGGCCCAGACUCCUACGGGAGGCAGCAGUGGGGAAUAUUGGACAAUGGGGGCAACCCUGAUCCAGCAAUGCCGCGUGAGUGAUGAAGGCCUUC